UACCGCUUGUGGGAUUUACUUCUUCGGGUCUCUUAGGGGCGGUCCUCACCCCGACUCCUUGGAGGAGCUGAGCUUCCAUGCGGCGUCUGGGGACCGCGACCCCUUUAUCCAUUCGCAAUCUGGGUGGUGGUUGCCUGUCCUCCAACCUUCCGGAUCCCCACCCAAAAGCUACCAGGACGACCCUGCUCUCGACCUGCGGGGACUGAAGGGACUGGAUGAGGGGAGACUAGUGGCAGGAUUGCCGUGGAAAGGAAGGAGGAGACGAGUGAAUCAAGGAGAGUUGAUUUUCCAGGGUUUGCGCAGUUCCGUAAAACAAAACGAGCUUUCGAGCUUUAAAGUAAAUGAUGGGUGGCAGUGUCGAAGCCAAAAGCUUCCAGAAGUGGUUUUUGAAAAAUAAGAGUUGAAUGUACAUGAGUAAGCAAACACAGGAAUCCGAAAAACCACAGCCCGUGACAGAUCAAGCCUAGUACAUUUUCAGCAAUUCUGGAGAAUUGUUCCCCAGUCUGUUCAAUAUUCAUCUGGACUCCAUCAUGAAGGAAUGAAACGUAGAUAAGUCGUUAGAAAACUUUUGUAGGAACAGUGCCUCGUGUGAACAGAACAAAGCCGUUUUAUAAUCAGAUUUACCAAGCUGAGAAGAAGGAGUUUCAGCAAACGGAAGCUGCAGUGUUCUAUCACCAGGAAACAGUGUGUUUUCCAGAAUCGGUUUUAUUUGAAGUUGGGGGUGGAUGGGAGAUGUAUGUGAGCACUUGAAUCCUCAGGAUGGACUUUUGGAAGAAAGAACUGGCUAUGUGAAAACUCUUCCACUAUGAGCAACUAAAUUGAGGAGAGAAGAAUACUAUUGUCAAGUGUGAUUUUGUUUCUGACCAGCACCGACAGAGCCAUCAGUGAGCAAGCUCCAAAGAAGCAUCCUUCUUUUCAUCUCUGAGGAGGCCUAGAACUGGACCUUCCACAGGCAGGAGGAGUGAGCAACCAGCACAUAAAGGGCCCACCACUUUGGACUGAAAAGAAGUUGUCUGAGAAGAGCUACAGAAGAACUAAAAAUUCAGUACUUUGAAAAUAUUAGAUGGCACAAGAGUUGGACAUUGAGGCAUGUGAUUUUUAUCAACAGAUUUAUUGAAGAAUGAUAAAGAAAGAACAACAUGUACUUCAUGUGGGAAGUUUGAGUGUGGAUAUACGUAAACACCUAUGAUGCCAUAACCCAAUUCCUCAUAAUCAAGGAACCAUAAAUGAGUGUGACUUCUCAUUGAAAAGAAUAGAGGAAUGGACCUCCACGAAGUUGAUCACCUUAGCAAUUAAUGGUUUCAUUGUGAUUUCAUCCAAAACAGCCUCACAUGCCAUCUUGUCAACUGAAGAAACCAAAGAUAAGAUGUAAUGUCAUCUUUCCUCUUCUUGCUUCAACAUUCAAAGAUUGAUCAUGUUAUAAUGAAAUACUUUCUAUUUGUUGUUGCUGACAGGAAGUAAAAUACCUUAGGGCACUGUGCACCUACCUCACCAUUCCUCCUCAUUUUGUUUUCUCUUCUACUUGCAGGAAUGUGGUUUAUAUUUGUUCUUCUUUUGUCAUUGUCUCAUUUUAUGAAGAACUCUCCAGUCUCAAUAGAAUCUGAAAGUUUUUUCUGGUGUUCCAACAUCUUACCACAUCAUUAGUUCCCUGACUGGACUGUCCACUAUUGCUGAUCAUUCCUUAUGAAAGUAGAACAGCUGUGUGAUGGAAUGACAAGGAACUUAGGCAAGGAACUCAAGCAUGGCUUUCCAUGGUGAGAGGAAGAAGAGAAUUGAAAUUGCUUCUAAGAAACACAAGUUUUAUAAUGUGGUUUAUUUGCCUACUCAUUUGGUAAAUAAAUGUAAAUGUAUGAAUAUUUCUAGAAAGUAGCAAUUCAGGCUAAAAUUCUCAGUGGAGGAAUAGAAGUUUUAAAGGUGAAUUUGUAAGUAGUUAGCUAUAAACUAGAGAUUUUUAGUAGGAAAUCAUGUAUUUUACAUUAAUGUGACUUAAAUAAAAAACUAGAAAAGGUAAGUAAGUGCUGCAAAGAUCAAUGUCUAUGUAAUUAAUUAAUCAAUCACCAAUGAUGGUGAUAUAAUGUAUUUUUGUCAUCUCAUGCUAAAUUCAAUGAAAAUAAAGCUAAUAACUUAGAAUUUUUAAAA